CUCAGAACGAACGCUAGCGGCGCGUUCAGGCAUGCAAGUUGAACGGUACCAGGCCCUUUUGGGUGCUGACGAGUGACGCACGGGUGAGUAACGCGUAGGUAAUCUACCUAUUGGACUGGGAUAGCUCUACGAAAGUAGGAUUAAAACCAGAUACAUUUAUCUAAUCUUAAGAUUAAAUAAGGAAAUGUCUAAGCCGAUAGAUGAGCCUGCGUUAGAUUAGUUAGUAGGUGUGGUAAUGGCGCACCUAGGCAUCGAUCUAUAGCCGAGUUGAGAGGCUAAUCGGCCACAUUGGAACUGAGACACGGUCCAGACUCCUACGGGAGGCAGCAGCUAAGAAUCUUCCGCAAUGGUUGAGAGACUGACGGAGCGACGCCGCGUGAAUGAUGAAGGCCUUUUAGGUUGUAAAAUUCUUUUAUAAUAGAUGAAAGUAUAGAUAUAGUUUAUGCUGACCGUAUAUUAUGAAUAAGGUCCGGCUAACUACGUGCCAGCAACCGCGGUAAAACGUAGGGACCUAGCGUUGUUCGGAAUUACUGGGCGUAAAGGGUAUGCAGGCUGUUAUAUAAGUCAGAUGUGAAAGACCCGGGCUCAACCUUGGAAUUGCGUCUGAUACUGUAUAACUUGGGUAGCUGAGAGGAAGUCGGAAUUCCUGGUGUAGGGGUGAAAUCUAUAGAUAUCAGGAAGAACACCAGUAGCGUAGGCGGACUUCUGGCAGCUUACCGACGCUGAGGUACGAAAGGUUAGGGUAGCAAACAGGAUUAGAGACCCUGGUAGUCCUACCUGUAAACGUUGUAUACUAGGUGGUGGAAGUUUAA
rnacentral:rRNA from 1 species